rnacentral:rRNA from 1 species
AGGACUGCGGAAGGAUCAUUA